rfam:Hordeum vulgare subsp. vulgare, WGS project CAJW01000000 data, contig: morex_contig_39660
GAAAUACUCUCUCUGUCCGAAAAUACUUGUCACGGAAAUGGAUGUAUCUAGAGGUAUUUUAUUUCUAGAUACGUCCAUUUUUAUUUAUUUCAAAUCUAAAUAUAUCCGUUUUUAUUCAUUUAUGUGACAAGUAAUUUCGGACGGAGAAAGCAUUUA